rnacentral:rRNA from 1 species
ACGUAGGCAGCAAGCGUUGUUCGGAAUUACUGGGCGUAAAGAGUACGUAGGUGGUUUGCUAAGUCCGAUGUGAAAUCUCCUGGCUUAACUGGGAGGGUGCGUUAGAUACUGGCAGGCUUGAAUGUGGGAGAGGAGAGCGGAAUUCCUGGUGUAGCGGUGAAAUGCGUAGAUAUCAGGAGGAACGCCUGUGGUGUAGACGGCUCUCUGGACCAUUAUUGACACUGAGGUACGAAAGCGUGGGUAGCAAACAGGAUUAGAUACCCUGGUAGUCCACGCCCUAAACGAUGCAUACUUGGUGUGGGCAGUUCAGUCUGUCCGUGCCGGAGCUAACGCGUUAAGUAUGCCGCCUGGGGAGUACGGUCGCAAGGCUG